ensembl:lncRNA
GAGGCAGCGGUGCUGAGGGUGGAGCUGGCUGCACUCGGGGAGAACUACCACAGCAAGGUGGCACAGGUGGAUACUUUACACUUACAGCUUGAGUUAAUAAAGCCAGACAGCAGCCAAUGAAGUAAUACGCACCAAAGCUGUGCAGCAUAACCAUGAAAAGAAAGUUGCUGUGUGAAAGAGAUGGGUGUUUCAGAGGAAAACCAAUGAGAAGCUGUUAAUGAAGAUUAGAGAGUAGGGUAAGAAGAUUAGAAGGUUAGAAGUCCUCCUCACUGCAGAGAAAGAGUGAGAUCAGCGCCAGUGCAAGCUUGCUGUGGAUGUAGGAAAGGGGGAGGCCUCAGGCUCCUCGCUCAGCUGUGCUCCCUGCUUCUAGUCACCUGCAGAACAGGGAGGAGCUGCUCACAGACAUUCGGAGGCUCAAGGCAGAGCUUGACGAUAAGAGGAUGGAGCUGGAAAGGUUCCAGGUACGUACCAGCAUGUACACAUUGUGUUCUGCGGUAAAUUCAUUCCUCUCGUCUUGCUGCAUCGCCAGAAGACAAAAGCAUCGCAAUGAUGUAUCUCUGCUGUCCAGUGACUCUCUUUCAGGAACUACAUAAGAGCAGCUGUGAGAGCAACCAGAUGCUCUGCCCCUUAUGUCCAGGCAGGUGGAGGCCCAAGUGGGCAUCCAGGCUGUGAGAGGAGCCAUGAGUACUCGCCAAGAGCCGAUAAGCAGGAAGAAGACCUUGGCUGCCAACGUGUUCAGGAGAUGGCGGGCAGCAGGUCAGACUCUUCAGCUGUUGCCAUGUGCUCUAUAGGCAUGAAGCAUAGUUGUAAUUGGAGAUACAUGCCUCCCCCAGGGUUUCAGCCAGUCUAAUUCCCCCCACUGUUUGUGGAUAGCUCAUGUAAGCACUGUUGCAAAUGUAUAAGGUCCCCGGUUCCUGAGCAUAACAAUUCUUAAAUCAGCCUUUCAUUAACCCAAGCCGCUUGAUACUAGUACAAAGAAGUGUGGCCAGAUAGCAGGUUGGCAUAAAGUCAAAUGUAACAGGAUGAGUUGGGAACUAGUGUACACUAUGUGUGUUCAGGACCAUGGAGAGAAUGCCUUCAUGUUUCACAUGUACUGCAAAUACAAUGUGCUAGUAACUAGCAUGAACUUAUAAAGCUGAUUUUACAUGUAAUUCCGUGCAGUUUAAAUUACUGCAGCUCCAGCAGCUAAAACGGGACUUAUUCUCUUAGGUAGGGCCAGGACUACAUGCAGCUAUUUUAAAAUUCAGUGUCUCAGGUACAGUGGAAACUUUUUAUAGUUCAAUGGCAUAGUGUAAACUCCAAGGCUAACCGCUUGACAACUGGGAUAUGUUUACCAGUGGAAAUGUUUUUUUUUUAAUUAUUUUAAAACCAGUUAAAUGUUAAAAAUGAACUAUUUGGAAUCUGCUCCUCUGAGCUCGUAAAUGCUUAAAUGUGUACGUCUUUGUAAUACUUCAUUUUUCAUAAUUUAAUAGAAAAAACAUGUGCAGCUACUCAUGUAAUGUACACUGGCUUAUACCAUGGUAUGUGGCUGCAUGCACAGAUCUGUUGAUACAAUGCACAUCACUUUGGAGAAAAGCGUUUACUUAGGUACCUACUAUAGUAGUUUAAUAAGCACAAUUGCUGCCCUCCUUUAGUCUUUGCUAACUUCUGUUUUGAUUACCAUUUCACCAGUGUGUUUGGGCUUGUCCAUAAAAUACAGGAAUGAACCUCCCAGUUUAUAGACUCUUGGCAUAAUGGCAUUUAGCUGAUGCUUUUCUCUAAAGCAACUUACAAUUACUCACAGGUACUACA